AGAGUUUGAUCAUGGCUCAGGACGAACGCUGGCGGCGCGCCUCACACAUGCAAGUCGAGCGUGUCCCCCGCAAGGAGGCAACGCGGCGGACGGGUGAGUAACACGUGGGCAACCUGCCCACCGGUUCGGGAUAACGGCGGGAAACCGCCGCUAAUACCGGAUGAGGUCCCCGGGAGACAUCUUCUGGGGAGGAAAGGCUCUGCAAGGGGCCGCCGGUGGAGGGGCCCGCGGGCCAUUAGCUAGUUGGCGGGGUAACGGCCCACCAAGGCGACGAUGGCUAGCCGGCCUGAGAGGGUGGUCGGCCACACUGGGACUGAGACACGGCCCAGACUCCUACGGGAGGCAGCAGUGGGGAAUUUUUCGCAAUGGGGGAAACCCUGACGCGAGCGACGCCGUGUGCGCGACGAAGGCCUUAGGGUCGUAAAGCGCUGUCGGUGGGGACGAAGACCGGUGGGCCGAAAGGCCGGCCGGAUGACGGUACCCACGGAGGAAGCCCCGGCUAACUACGUGCCAGCAGCCGCGGUAAUACGUAGGGGGCGAGCGUUGUCCGGAAUGACUGGGCGUAAAGGGCGUCUAGGCGGCACGGUGCGUCGGGAGUGAAAGGCGCGGGCUCAACCCGCGGAGUGCUCUCGAAACGGCCGAGCUAGAGGGCCGGAGAGGGAAGCGGAAUUGCCGGUGUAGCGGUGAAAUGCGUAGAGAUCGGCAGGAACACCAGUGGCGAAGGCGGCUUCCUGGACGGUACCUGACGCUGAAGCGCGAAAGCGUGGGGAGCGAACGGGAUUAGAUACCCCGGUAGUCC
rnacentral:rRNA from 1 species